rnacentral:rRNA from 1 species
CUGAACAAGAACCGUUAUAACCGGCGAUUUCCGAAUGGGGAAACCCAGUGUGAUUCGUCACACUAUCAUUAACUGAAUCCAUAGGUUAAUGAGGCGAACCGGGGGAACUGAAACAUCUAAGUACCCCGAGGAAAAGAAAUCAACCGAGAUUCCCCCAGUAGCGGCGAGCGAACGGGAGAGCCCCAGAGCCUGAAUCAGUGUGUGUGUUAGUGGAAGCGUCUGGAAAGGCGCGCGAUACAGGGUGACAGCCCCGUACACAAAAAUGCACAUAUUGUGAGCUCGAUGAGUAGGGCGGGACACGUGGUAUCCUGUCUGAAUAUGGGGGGACCAUCCUCCAAGGCUAAAUACUCCUGACUGACCGAUAGUGAACCAGUACCGUGAGGGAAAGGCGAAAAGAACCCCGGCGAGGGGAGUGAAAAAGAACCUGAAACCGUGUACGUACAAGCAGUGGGAGCACGCUUAGGCGUGUGACUGCGUACCUUUUGUAUAAUGGGUCAGCGACUUAUAUUCUGUAGCAAGGUUAACCGAAUAGGGGAGCCGAAGGGAAACCGAGUCUUAACUGGGCGUUAAGUUGCAGGGUAUAGACCCGAAACCCGGUGAUCUAGCCAUGGGCAGGUUGAAGGUUGGGUAACACUAACUGGAGGACCGAACCGACUAAUGUUGAAAAAUUAGCGGAUGACUUGUGGCUGGGGGUGAAAGGCCAAUCAAACCGGGAGAUAGCUGGUUCUCCCGAAAGCUAUUUAGGUAGCGCCUCGUGAAUUCAUCUCCGGGGGUAGAGCACUGUUUCGGCAAGGGGGUCAUCCCGACUUACCAACCCGAUGCAAACUGCGAAUACCGGAGAAUGUUAUCACGGGAGACACACGGCGGGUGCUAACGUCCGUCGUGAAGAGGGAAACAACCCAGACCGCCAGCUAAGGUCCCAAAGUCAUGGUUAAGUGGGAAACGAUGUGGGAAGGCCCAGACAGCCAGGAUGUUGGCUUAGAAGCAGCCAUCAUUUAAAGAAAGCGUAAUAGCUCACUGGUCGAGUCGGCCUGCGCGGAAGAUGUAACGGGGCUAAACCAUGCACCGAAGCUGCGGCAGCGACGCUUAUGCGUUGUUGGGUAGGGGAGCGUUCUGUAAGCCUGUGAAGGUGUGCUGUGAGGCAUGCUGGAGGUAUCAGAAGUGCGAAUGCUGACAUAAGUAACGAUAAAGCGGGUGAAAAGCCCGCUCCGCCGGAAGACCAAGGGUUCCUGUCCAACGUUAAUCGGGGCAGGGUGAGUCGACCCCUAAGGCGAGGCCGAAAGGCGUAGUCGAUGGAAACAGGUUAAUAUUCCUGUACUUGGUGUUACUGCGAAGGGGGGACGGAGAAGGCUAUGUUGGCCGGGGCGACGGUUGUCCCGGUUUAAGCGUGUAGGCUGGUUUUCCAGGCAAAUCCGGAAAAUCAAGGCUGAGGCGUGAUGACGAGGCACUACGGUGCUGAAGUAACAAAUGCCCUGCUUCCAGGAAAAGCCUCUAAGCAUCAGGUAACAUCAAAUCGUACCCCAAACCGACACAGGUGGUCAGGUAGAGAAUACCAAGGCGCUUGAGAGAACUCGGGUGAAGGAACUAGGCAAAUGGUGCCGUAACUUCGGGAGAAGGCACGCUGAUAUGUAGGUGAAGCGACUUGCUCGUGGAGCUGAAAUCAGUCGAAGAUACCAGCUGGCUGCAACUGUUUAUUAAAAACACAGCACUGUGCAAACACGAAAGUGGACGUAUACGGUGUGACGCCUGCCCGGUGCCGGAAGGUUAAUUGAUGGGGUCAGCGCAAGCGAAGCUCUUGAUCGAAGCCCCGGUAAACGGCGGCCGUAACUAUAACGGUCCUAAGGUAGCGAAAUUCCUUGUCGGGUAAGUUCCGACCUGCACGAAUGGCGUAAUGAUGGCCAGGCUGUCUCCACCCGAGACUCAGUGAAAUUGAACUCGCUGUGAAGAUGCAGUGUACCCGCGGCAAGACGGAAAGACCCCGUGAACCUUUACUAUAGCUUGACACUGAACAUUGAGCCUUGAUGUGUAGGAUAGGUGGGAGGCUUGGAAGUGUGGACGCCAGUCUGCAUGGAGCCGACCUUGAAAUACCACCCUUUAAUGUUUGAUGUUCUAACGUUGACCCGUAAUCCGGGUUGCGGACAGUGUCUGGUGGGUAGUUUGACUGGGGCGGUCUCCUCCUAAAGAGUAACGGAGGAGCACGAAGGUUGGCUAAUCCUGGUCGGACAUCAGGAGGUUAGUGCAAUGGCAUAAGCCAGCUUGACUGCGAGCGUGACGGCGCGAGCAGGUGCGAAAGCAGGUCAUAGUGAUCCGGUGGUUCUGAAUGGAAGGGCCAUCGCUCAACGGAUAAAAGGUACUCCGGGGAUAACAGGCUGAUACCGCCCAAGAGUUCAUAUCGACGGCGGUGUUUGGCACCUCGAUGUCGGCUCAUCACAUCCUGGGGCUGAAGUAGGUCCCAAGGGUAUGGCUGUUCGCCAUUUAAAGUGGUACGCGAGCUGGGUUUAGAACGUCGUGAGACAGUUCGGUCCCUAUCUGCCGUGGGCGCUGGAGAACUGAGGGGGGCUGCUCCUAGUACGAGAGGACCGGAGUGGACGCAUCACUGGUGUUCGGGUUGUCAUGCCAAUGGCACUGCCCGGUAGCUAAAUGCGGAAGAGAUAAGUGCUGAAAGCAUCUAAGCACGAAACUUGCCCCGAGAUGAGUUCUCCCUGACUCCUUGAGAGUCCUGAAGGAACGUUGAAGACGACGACGUUGAUAGGCCGGGUGUGUAAGCGCAGCGAUGCGUUGAGCUAACCGGUACUAAUGAACCGUGAGGCUUAACCUUACAACGCCGAAGCUGUU